rnacentral:rRNA from 1 species
CCUACGGGGGGCAGCAGUAGGGAAUCUUCGGCAAUGGACGAAAGUCUGACCGAGCAACGCCGCGUGAGUGAAGAAGGUUUUCGGAUCGUAAAACUCUGUUGUUAGAGAAGAACAAGGACGUUAGUAACUGAACGUCCCCUGACGGUAUCUAACCAGAAAGCCACGGCUAACUACGUGCCAGCAGCCGCGGUAAUACGUAGGUGGCAAGCGUUGUCCGGAUUUAUUGGGCGUAAAGCGAGCGCAGGCGGUUUCUUAAGUCUGAUGUGAAAGCCCCCGGCUCAACCGGGGAGGGUCAUUGGAAACUGGGAGACUUGAGUGCAGAAGAGGAGAGUGGAAUUCCAUGUGUAGCGGUGAAAUGCGUAGAUAUAUGGAGGAACACCAGUGGCGAAGGCGGCUCUCUGGUCUGUAACUGACGCUGAGGCUCGAAAGCGUGGGGAGCAAACAGGAUUAGAUACCCUGGUAGUC